AUGAACGCUAGCUACAGGCUUAACACAUGCAAGUCGAGGGGCAGCAUGGUCUUAGCUUGCUAAGGCCGAUGGCGACCGGCGCACGGGUGAGUAACACGUAUCCAACCUGCCGUCUACUCUUGGACAGCCUUCUGAAAGGAAGAUUAAUACAAGAUGGCAUCAUGAGUCCGCAUGUUCACAUGAUUAAAGGUAUUCCGGUAGACGAUGGGGAUGCGUUCCAUUAGAUAGUAGGCGGGGUAACGGCCCACCUAGUCUUCGAUGGGUAGGGGUUCUGAGAGGAAGGUCCCCCACAUUGGAACUGAGACACGGUCCAAACUCCUACGGGAGGCAGCAGUGAGGAAUAUUGGUCAAUGGGCGAGAGCCUGAACCAGCCAAGUAGCGUGAAGGAUGACUGCCCUAUGGGUUGUAAACUUCUUUUAUAAAGGAAUAAAGUCGGGUAUGGAUACCCGUUUGCAUGUACUUUAUGAAUAAGGAUCGGCUAACUCCGUGCCAGCAGCCGCGGUAAUACGGAGGAUCCGAGCGUUAUCCGGAUUUAUUGGGUUUAAAGGGAGCGUAGAUGGAUGUUUAAGUCAGUUGUGAAAGUUUGCGGCUCAACCGUAAAAUUGCAGUUGAUACUGGAUAUCUUGAGUGCAGUUGAGGCAGGCGGAAUUCGUGGUGUAGCGGUGAAAUGCUUAGAUAUCACGAAGAACUCCGAUUGCGAAGGCAGCCUGCUAAGCUGCAACUGACAUUGAGGCUCGAAAGUGUGGGUAUCAAACAGGAUUAGAUACCCUGGUAGUCCACACGGUAAACGAUGAAUACUCGCUGUUUGCGAUAUACUGCAAGCGGCCAAGCGAAAGCGUUAAGUAUUCCACCUGGGGAGUACGCCGGCAACGGUGAAACUCAAAGGAAUUGACGGGGGCCCGCACAAGCGGAGGAACAUGUGGUUUAAUUCGAUGAUACGCGAGGAACCUUACCCGGGCUUGAACUGCAGGAGAACGAUUCAGAGAUGAUGAGGUCCUUCGGGACUCCUGUGGAGGUGCUGCAUGGUUGUCGUCAGCUCGUGCCGUGAGGUGUCGGCUUAAGUGCCAUAACGAGCGCAACCCUUGUUGUCAGUUACUAACAGGUUCCGCUGAGGACUCUGACAAGACUGCCAUCGUAAGAUGUGAGGAAGGUGGGGAUGACGUCAAAUCAGCACGGCCCUUACGUCCGGGGCUACACACGUGUUACAAUGGGGGGUACAGAGGGCCGCUACCACGCGAGUGGAUGCCAAUCCCCAAAACCUCUCUCAGUUCGGACUGGAGUCUGCAACCCGACUCCACGAAGCUGGAUUCGCUAGUAAUCGCGCAUCAGCCACGGCGCGGUGAAUACGUUCCCGGGCCUUGUACACACCGCCCGUCAAGCCAUGGGAGCCGGGGGUACCUGAAGUGCGUAACCGCGAGGAGCGCCCUAGGGUAAAACUGGUGACUGGGGCU
rnacentral:rRNA from 1 species